CUGCUGCCAGCGCAGGGAGGAGAGUGAGGGGUGGUGCCAGGGGGAGAGUGCGGAACAGGAGAGCCAGGCUGGCUUCCUCCAUCUUCACCUUUACCACAAGCCACGGCAGCAUCCUUGCCUGUCUCCCAGGGACACGCAGAAGCUUGAAACAGCGUCAGCCAGGGGCCUUCAUUUGAGCAAAGCUUCUGUAACCCAAGGAGGGCCCUCACGAAGGAGAAGCAGGAACUCCCAGAGCGAUGGCCUUUCACACAAGCUGCACAUCCCAGGCCGAUCAGUUAGCAUGGGUGUUGGAGCAGCCUGUGUCUGCAAACAGCCCUGGCUAUCUCCAGCAUGACACCUGACCCCAUACACAGCUCCCUCUCUGCUCCAGAAGUUAGCCCUGCCCUGUAUUACGGCUGCAAAGCAGGGACCCAGCAGCAUGCAUCAGCCCUGGAUGGAUGCAGGAGGUAAGAUGAGGGAAUGCACCCAACUGCGCAUGAGGCCUCUGGCUAAAGCCCAGUGCACGCUCUGCCCCGGGAAAGGAUGGCCCAGAUGUGCUGCAGAAGCUUGGAAACAGACACGUAUUUAAUGCAUGUA